rnacentral:lncRNA from 1 species
GUUUUAACAUUCUAUUUUUGCCAAUUUUUAUAAAAUAUCAACAAAGUUUAAGACUGCUAUUAAGUGUCUACAUGUGAUAUUGCAAAGAUAAAACAAGUUUGUAUGGCUCAGUAAUUAACUUAUUUUCCCUAUGAUGUAAUUAAGAUUAGAAAGUGAUAGGACAAGGUUGGAGUUUCACUUAUAACUACAAAGGAUUACAUCAAUUUAACGGAGACAAUUUGGCCUGGUACCAGAUAUGAUCAUUACCUCAACCUUUUAGUUUUUACAAGGUCAAUUGGGAUUGUAUUAGAGGAAUGCGUAUUUUAUUAAGUUUUUGUCUAGAAAUUGAACAUACAGCUUUGAUUCACUGGUAUUAGAUACAUCCUUUCAAAACAAACUGAUCAAACACUUUUGGAAUCAGCCUAAUUUAAGUUUCUUAGACUUUUUGUUUAGUGUUUCAUCGACCCACCAUCAUUACAUGGAGUAAUAGAUUUCAAAGAAACUUGAGAUUUAAAAAAACAAUGUGAAAUUAUGUUAUAUCAAGGC